rnacentral:rRNA from 1 species
CCUACGUGCGGCAGCAGUGAGGAAUAUUGGUCAAUGGUCGGGAGACUGAACCAGCCAAGCCGCGUGAGGGAGGAAGGUACAGAGUAUCGUAAACCUCUUUUGUCAGGGAACAAAGACUGGGACGCGUCCCCGGAUGAGUGUACCUGAAGAAAAAGCAUCGGCUAACUCCGUGCCAGCAGCCGCGGUAAUACGGAGGAUGCGCGCGUUAUCCGGAUUUAUUGGGUUUAAAGGGUGCGCAGGCGGUCUGUUAAGUCAGCGGUGAAAGCCCGGGGCUCACCCCCGGCCCGCCGUUGAGACUGGCAGUCUCGAGUUGGAGAGAAGUAUGCGGAAUGCGCGGUGUAGCGGUGAAAUGCAUAGAUAUCGCGCAGAACUCCGAUUGCGAAGGCAGCAUGCUGGCUCCACACUGACGCUGAGGCACGAAAGCGUGGGUAUCGAACAGGAUUAGAUACCCGGGUAGUC